rnacentral:rRNA from 1 species
CCUACGGGAGGCAGCAGUGGGGAAUAUUGCACAAUGGGCGAAAGCCUGAUGCAGCAACGCCGCGUGAGGGAUGACGGCCUUCGGGUUGUAAACCUCUUUUAGUAGGGAAGAAGCGAAAGUGACGGUACCUGCAGAAAAAGCACCGGCUAACUACGUGCCAGCAGCCGCGGUAAUACGUAGGGUGCAAGCGUUGUCCGGAAUUAUUGGGCGUAAAGAGCUCGUAGGCGGUUUGUCGCGUCUGCUGUGAAAUCUGGGGGCUCAACCCCCAGCCUGCAGUGGGUACGGGCAGACUAGAGUGCGGUAGGGGAGAUUGGAAUUCCUGGUGUAGCGGUGGAAUGCGCAGAUAUCAGGAGGAACACCGAUGGCGAAGGCAGAUCUCUGGGUCCCUACCGACGCUGGGGU